AAUGUACUCCCACGGUCCAAAAAUACUUAUCAUAAGAAUCAAUGUAUCUAGAUGUAUUUUAGUUUUAGAUACAUCCAUUUUUAUUCAUUUAUGUGACAAGUAAUUUCGGACAAAGGGAGUAUGUG
rfam:Hordeum vulgare subsp. vulgare, WGS project CAJW01000000 data, contig: morex_contig_276438